GACGAACGCUGGCGGCGUGCUUAACACAUGCAAGUCGAACGGAAAGGCGCUGCUCUUGUGGGGCGCUCGAUAGGCGAACGGGUGAGUAAAACGCGAGUAACCUGUCCUUGACUUUGGGAUAACUUUAGGAAACUGGGGCUAAUACCGGAUAGGAUCUCCUGAUGCAUGGGGGGGGUUGGAAAGUUUCGGCGGUUGGGGCUGGACUCGAGGCUUAUCAGCUUGAUGGUGGAGUAGUGGCGUACCAAGGGUUUGACGGAUAGCCGGCCUUAGAGGGUGACCGGCGACAUGGGUACUAAGAUACGGCCCAGACUCCUACGGGCGGCAGCGGUGGGGAAUAUUGCGGAAUGGGCGGACGCCUGAUGCAGCAACCCCCCGUGCGGGAUAACGGCCUUCGGGUGGUAAACAGAUUUGGCCGGUGACGAAGCGUGAGUGACGGUAAUGGGUAAGAAAGCACCGGCUAACUACGUG
rnacentral:rRNA from 1 species